rnacentral:rRNA from 1 species
UACGUAGGGUGGGAGCGUUGUCCGGAAUUAUUGGGCGUAAAGAGCUCGUAGGCGGUUUGUCACGUCUGCUGUGAAAUCCCGAGGCUCAACCUCGGGCCUGCAGUGGGUACGGGCAGACUGGAGUGCGGUAGGGGAGAAUGGAAUUCCUGGUGUAGCGGUGGAAUGCGCAGAUAUCAGGAGGAACACCGAUGGCUAAGGCAGUUCUCUGGGCCGUAACUGACGCUUAGGAGCGAAAGCGUGGGGAGCGAACAGG